rnacentral:piRNA from 1 species
UUUGUUUAUUGCUCUGGUUGU